rnacentral:rRNA from 1 species
UACGGGGGGAGCAAGCGUUGUUCGGAUUUACUGGGCUUAAAGCGCGUGUAGGCGGGUCGGCGCGUCGGUCGCUGAAAUCUCCCGGCUCAACCGGGGAAGGGGCGCCGAAACGGCCGGCCUGGAGGGACGUAGGGGGGGCUGGAACUUCCGGUGGAGCGGUGAAAUGCGUUGAGAUCGGAAGGAACGCCCGUGGCGAAAGCGAGCCCCUGGACGUCUACUGACGCUGAGACGCGAAAGCCAGGGGAGCGAACGGG